ensembl:lncRNA LINC03016 long intergenic non-protein coding RNA 3016
GGUGCGGAGCAGCCCAGUGGGGGUUGUUAUAGUGGCAGUGGGGUGCCCUGUAGAGAGCAUUACAGAGUGGGUCACCAGGCCCAGGAUUAGAAGUGUCUGUAGCCCCCGAGGAACCGGGACAGGACUGAAUCAGUCAAGAAGAGACGAGAUGAUGAUGACGGAGUGGCCACAAAGUCCUCCCACCCCUACCCUAUCCCAGAUGAGCCCAUGCUGUAACCACAUGAAGAGCAAAGAAACAACUAUUUAUUCUCAGGGACUGUGUUAAUGAUUCCCAACCAUCAGCAUCGAAGAAGAGGUCCGGAAGAAUGUGAAGAAUGCUAAGUCUUGUGUGGAGAAUAGAGGGGAGCAUGAAGACAAUCCACAGCCUGCAGGCAGGGACUUCAUGGACACUCUACAUUGUGCAGCAGCCACAGAAUUCAGCCACAGGUGCCAGCUGGACAAUGCAUAGGAGUGAAUGAGACAGAAAGCAAGACCAUGAGGAUGACUAAGAAGAGCAAGUACAACAUGGCUGAGACUAAGUGUCCAGGGAGUUGAGAAUAAGUGGCCUAUUGUCAUGUCCUAUAUAAGUAGAGUAUAUGGAUGGGAGGCCAAGAAUACACCAACAAAUAAAAUAUUGAAUAUAUCGG